GACGAACGCUGGCGGCGUGCUUAACGCAUGCAAGUUGAACGGAAAGGCCCUGCUUUUGUGGGUUGCUCGAGUGGCGAACGUGUGUGUAACACGUGAGUAACCUGCCCUUGACUUUGGGAUAACUUCAGGAAACUGGGGCUAAUACCGGAUAUGAGCUCCUGCUGCAUGGUGGGGGUUGGAAAGUUUCGGCGGUUGGGGAUGGACUCGCGGAUUAUCAGCUUGUUGGUGGGGUAGUGGCUUACCAAGGCUUUGACGGGUAGCCGGCCUGAGAGGGUGACAGGCCACAUUGGGAAUGAGAUACGGCCCAGACUCCUAAGGGAGGCAGCAGUGGGGAAUAUUGCACAAUGGGCGAAAGCCUGAUGCAGCAACGCCGCGUGCGGGAUGACGGCCUUCGGGUUGUAAACCGCUUUCGCCUGUGACGAAGCGUGAGUGACGGUAAUGGGUAAAGAAGCACCGGCUAACUACGUG
rnacentral:rRNA from 1 species